UAGACUCUCAGGGUCGAAGCUGAGAGUAAAGCUCCGGCGCUUCGGGAGGGGCCCGCGGCCUAUCAGCUAGUUGGUAGGGUAAUGGCCUACCAAGGCAAUGACGGGUAGGGGGUGUGAGAGCAUGACCCCCCACAAUGGGACUGAGACACGGCCCAUACUCCUACGGGAGGCAGCAGCAGGGAAUCUUGCGCAAUGGACGAAAGUCUGACGCAGCGACGCCGCGUGGAUGAUGAAGGCCUUCGGGUUGUAAAAUCCUUUUCAGGGGGAAGAGGCAGGACGGUACCCCUGGAAUAAGCGUCGGCUAACUACGUGCCAGCAGCCGCGGUAAGACGUAGGACGCAAGCGUUAUCCGGAUUUACUGGGCGUAAAGCGUCUGUAGGCGGUUCUGUAAGUUGGACGUGAAAGCUCCGGGCUCAACUCGGAGAGGUCGUUCAAUACUGCAGGACUAGAGGUCAUCAGAGGGGCGUGGAAUUUCCGGUGUAGCGGUAAAAUGCGCAGAUAUCGGAAGGAACACCAGUGGCGAAGGCGGCGCCCUGGGGUGGACCUGACGCUAAGAGACGAAAGCUAGGGGAGCGAACAGGAUUAGAGACCCUGGUAGUCCUAGCCCUAAACGAUGGAUGCUAGGUGUGGGAUCGACAGGUUCCGUGCCGGAGUUAACGCGUUAAGCAUCCCGCCUGGGGAGUACGGCCGCAAGGCUAAAACUCAAACGAAUUGACGGGGCCCCGCACAAGCAGCGGAGCGUGUGGUUUAAUUCGAUGCUACACGAAGAACCUUACCUGGGUUUGACAUAUGCGUGGUAGUGAAGCGAAAGCGGAACGACCCUUCGGGGAGCGCAUACAGGUGCUGCAUGGCUGUCGUCAGCUCGUGCCGUGAGGUGUCGGGUUAAGUCCCGUAACGAGCGCAACCCCUGUCCUUAGUUAUACGUGUCUAAGGGGACUGCCGGCGGUAAGCCGGAGGAAGGUGGGGAUGACGUCAAGUCAGCAUGGCCCUUAUAUCCAGGGCUACACACACGCUACAAUGGUCAGUACAAAGGGCAGCGAAGCCGCGAGGUGAAGCGAAUCCCAUCAAAGCUGAUCUUAGUUCGAAUUGCAGGCUGCAACCCGCCUGCAUGAAGCUGGAGUUGCUAGU
rnacentral:rRNA from 1 species